rnacentral:rRNA from 1 species
UACGUAGGUGGCAAGCGUUGUCCGGAAUUACUGGGUGUAAAGGGCGUGUAGGCGGGAAUGUAAGUCAGAUGUGAAAUCCCAGAGCUUAACUCUGGAGCUGCAUCUGAAACUAUGUUUCUUGAGUGUCGGAGAGGAAAGCGGAAUUCCUAGUGUAGCGGUGAAAUGCGUAGAUAUUAGGAGGAACACCAGUGGCGAAGGCGGCUUUCUGGACGAUAACUGACGCUGAGGCGCGAAAGCGUGGGGAGCAAACAGG